rnacentral:rRNA from 1 species
CCUACGGGAGGCAGCAGUGAGGAAUAUUGGUCAAUGGGCGUAAGCCUGAACCAGCCAAGUCGCGUGAGGGAUGAAGGUUCUAUGGAUUGUAAACCUCUUUUGUCAGGGAGCAAAGGGCGCCACGUGUGGCGUUUUGCGAGUACCUGAAGAAAAAGCAUCGGCUAACUCCGUGCCAGCAGCCGCGGUAAUACGGAGGAUGCGAGCGUUAUCCGGAUUUAUUGGGUUUAAAGGGUGCGCAGGCGGAAUGUCAAGUCAGCGGUAAAAUUUCGGGGCUCAACCCCGUCGUGCCGUUGAAACUGGCGUUCUUGAGUGAGCGAGAAGUAUGCGGAAUGCGUGGUGUAGCGGUGAAAUGCAUAGAUAUCACGCAGAACUCCGAUUGCGAAGGCAGAAUACCGGCGCUCAACUGACGCUCAUGCACGAAAGCGUGGGUAUCGAACAGGAUUAGAUACCCUAGUAGUC